rnacentral:rRNA from 1 species
GCUUAACACAUGCAAGUCGAGCGCCCAGCAAUGGGAGCGGCAGACGGGAGAGUAACACGUGGGAACGUACCCUUCAGUUCGGAACAACCCAGGGAAACUUGGGCUAAUACCGAAUACGUCCGUAAGGAGAAAGAUUUAUCGCUGAAGGAUCGGCCCGCGUCUGAUUAGCUAGUUGGUGAGGUAACGGCUCACCAAGGCGACGAUCAGUAGCUGGUCUGAGAGGAUGAUCAGCCUCAUUGGGACUGAGACACGGCCCAAACUCCUACGGGAGGCAGCAGUGGGGAAUAUUGGACAAUGGGCGCAAGCCUGAUCCAGCCAUGCCGCGUGGAUGAUGAAGGCCUUAGGGUUGUAAAGUCCUUUCGGCGGGGACGAUAAUGACGGUACCCGCAGAAGAAGCCCCGGCUAACUUCGUGCCAGCAGCCGCGGUAAUAC